CGGGGAGUCGCCUAGUCGGGUAAUGGCACUUGGCUUGGGACCAAGAAUAACGGGGAUUCGAAUUCCUCCUCCCCGA
rnacentral:tRNA from 1 species